AGCCGCCGCGGUAAUACCGGCGGCUCGAGUGGUGGCCACUAUUACUGGGCUUAAAGCGUUCGUAGCUGGUCUGUUAAGUCUCUGGGGAAAUCUACCGGCUUAACCAAUAGGCGUCUCAGGGAUACUGGCAGACUAGGGACCGGGAGAGGUGAGAGGUACUCCAGGGGUAGGAGUGAAAUCCUGUAAUCCUUGGGGGACCACCUGUGGCGAAGGCGUCUCACCAGAACGGCUCCGACAGUGAGGGACGAAAGCUGGGGGAGCAAACCGGAUUAGAUACCCGGGUAGUCCCAGCCGUAAACGAUGCGCGUUAGGUGUAUCGGUGACCACGAGUCACCGAGGUGCCGAAGAGAAAUCGUGAAACGUGCCGCCUGGGAAGUACGGUCGCAAGGCUGAAACUUAAAGGAAUUGGCGGGGGAGCACCACAACAGGUGGAGCCUGCGGUUUAAUCGGACUCAACGCCGGAAAUCUCACCGGAUAAGACAGCUGGAUGAUAGUCGGGCUGAAGACUCUACUUGACUAGCUGAGAGGAGGUGCAUGGCCGUCGUCAGUUC
rnacentral:rRNA from 1 species